CAGGCAAUGGUGUAUCAUCAGCACUAAGCGUAACCUUGCGCAAUUUAUUUGUCAUUUCUGAGGGAAAAGAACGACCCUGAAGGCAGCAUCGGAGUGGGCGUGGUCUUUAGCUAAAAUGUAGAGAUUGCACAUAGCUGGUGGUGGACAUGGUCCCAGGGUUUGUUUACUGAUGGUUUGAGGAGAUCUUUAUGUUCAGCCUGGACACUCCUUGAGGUUGACUGGACCAAACACGCUUGACGGCCUUUCGAAGGAGACCAAUUCACCGUUGAUCCCCAUGUCCUGGAUGCAUCCAACAAAGGAGGAUGUGACAGGAAGCCUCUGCUGUGUUAAGAUCGCUGCGGCAGAAAGGGACAGAAAGCCUGAUCCUGCCCUUCGACAUGUAUAAAGCAAGAUGAGAUUGCCCUCCUCUGGUUGCAGCAAAGAACAGCAUGCCUUCAGGCGACCGAGUCCUGACUUCAAGAGAGAAAUGCGGUCUGUGGAGAACCAA